rnacentral:lncRNA from 1 species
UUAUUUCUUUUUUCUUCUAUUAUUGAUGGAAAGGUGGAUAUGCAAGUGUUAAAUGUUACACUGUGUGGCAAGAAUGUAAGUGUGUAUGGAUGCGCAAGAUAAACUGAUAAACCCUGAUAAAGUUGUCUAGAGCAUUUAUAAGUUGUUUGGUGGCUGCCUACAGAGGUCUAUCAACUUAUUUCUUCCCAAACGGAAUUUUAUCUUUGCACUGGCUAAUGGCGCUCUAACUUUUCACUUCUCUCGUUCCUUCAACUAACCACCGAAAAAAAGACCUUCUCUCUCUCUCUCUCUCGUUAUCUUCAUCUCAAAUUUUCUGCUACCAUUGGCCACGUUUAGCAUCAAAGCUGCAGAGGUCAUCAUUUCCUCCUUGAAAGCAUACUUUGCAGAGACGUCUUCAGCUAGAGCCUUUAGGGCAUCUAAGACACUGCACAAACCCUCAUCUAUUUGAGCUUCUGAUAUCAGAACCUCUGAGAAGUAUUUGACAAAAACAAUCAGGUGAUAUUUAUUCUUCUUCAAAACAGCUGAACCAGAGCAGCGAUGGUUCCCAUCAAAGCUCACUGUCUCAGGCUAUAGCGGCAAGAAAAUUCCAGAUGAACAUAGUUGUGUCGAAAGCUCUUGGGACCUCAAGGCCACAUCUUAGCAUAGGCAGAAGCUAUCAGUUCUGAUUUUCUUCAAUGUAAUGCUUUGAGUUUCUGCUUUUCUUUGUGUUUUCUCCCAAGUGCUGUGUCCAUUAAUGGAGAAGUUUGUGCUUUUGUUUUCUCUGCAUGUUAUGCUUUUUGUUGUGAUUUUGGAUGAUUAAUAGUGAACCUUUGAAUUUUGGUUUUCUUUUGCUUUUUGCUCUGAUUUUGUACCAGUUGCUUGUUUGUCUUUUCUCUGUUCUUUUGCCCUAAUCUAGUGGUGGUUUCUUUUGCCAUGUUUGCUAAUGUCUAUCAUCUACAAUAUCUUUCAUGGAUAUUUCUUUGGGGAGUACAUCAAAAUACUCAUAAACUAUGAACUAUUUAACAUUUUAACUAUAUCAUUUGACUUUAUUUGAAAAUACCCAUGAAAAGAUACAUGAUCAUGAGUUGGAAUAGUUACAAAUGUUAAAAAU